AUUGAACGCUGGCGGCAGGCCUAACACAUGCAAGUCGAGCGGGGUUUUCGGACCUAGCGGCGGACGGGUGAGUAAUGCGUAGGAGGCUACCCGAUAGAGGGGGAUACCAGUUGGAAACGACUGUUAAUACCGCAUAAUGUCUACGGACCAAAGUGUGGGACCUUCGGGCCACAUGCUAUCGGAUGCGCCUACGUGGGAUUAGCUAGUUGGUGAGGUAAUGGCUCACCAAGGCGACGAUCCCUAGCUGGUUUGAGAGGAUGAUCAGCCACACUGGAACUGAGACACGGUCCAGACUCCUACGGGAGGCAGCAGUGGGGAAUAUUGGACAAUGGGCGCAAGCCUGAUCCAGCCAUGCCGCGUGUGUGAAGAAGGCCUUCGGGUUGUAAAGCACUUUCAGUAGGGAGGAAGCGUUGUGUGUUAAUAGUACACAGCGUUGACGUUACCUACAGAAGGAGCACCGGCUAACUCUGUGCCAGCAGCCGCGGUAAGAC
rnacentral:rRNA from 1 species